UUUUGGUUUAAAAAKGUUUUUUUUCGCCCCWAARGGAWUGGGGUUCUGCCGGCCAGAAUUAGGGUAAGUUKGGUUAAGGUAAAUGGGCUUMCCCAAGCCCUAUGAUMAUGUACCGGGUUGUGAGAAGCAAGAGCCCGGCGACGCCCCCCUGAGWCAAGGUUUCCAGGCCCUACGGGGCGCAGCAGGCGCGAAACCUCCGCAAUGUGAGAAAUCSCGAAGGGGGGAUCCCAAGUGCCAUUCUUAACGAGKGGCUUUUCAUAAGUGUAAAAAGCUUUUGGAAUAAGAGCUGGGCAAGACCGGUGCCAGCCKCCGCGGUAACACCGGCAGCUCUAGUGGUAGCUGUUUUUAUUGGGCCUAAAGCGUUCGUAGCCGGUUUGAUAAGUCACUGGUGAAAUCCUGUAGCUUAACUGUGGGAAUUGCUGGUGAUACUGUUGAACUUGAGGUCGGGAGAGGUYAGCGGUACUCCCAGGGUAGAGGUGAAAUUCUGUWWUCGUGGGAGGACCACCUGUGGCGAAGGCGGCUAACUGGAACGAACCUGACGGUGAGGGCGAAACUAGGG
rnacentral:rRNA from 1 species